UUUGUAAAUGGCCGCAGUAUUUUGACUGUGCUAAGGUAGCAUAAUCAUUAGUCUCUUGAUUAGAGGCUGGUAUGAAUGGCGUGACGAGAAAGUAGCUGUCUCAUAAUAAAUAAUUGAACUUCAUUUCUUGGUGAAAAAGCUAAGAUUGUUUUGAAGGACGAUCAGACCCUUUGGAGCUUUAUAAUUUCUUUUAUGUAUAUUUAUAUUAAAAAAUAAUUUAACAGAAAUUAUUUCGUUGGGGCGACGAAGAGUUUAAAAGUAACACUCUUUUUAUUAACCAUAAAUAAAUGUAUAAUUGAUCCUUAAAGUAAGAUUAAAAGAUUAAGUUACCCUAGGGAUAACAGCGUAAUCUUUUUAGAGAGUUCAUAUCGAUAAAAAGGUUUGCGACCUCGAUGUUGGAUUAAGAAAUUAGCAAGGUGCAGAAGUUUUGCUGGAAAGUCUGUUCGACUUUUAAUUUCUUACA
rnacentral:rRNA from 1 species